rnacentral:rRNA from 1 species
UACGUAGGGCGCAAGCGUUGUCCGGAAUUAUUGGGCGUAAAGAGCUCGUAGGCGGCUUGUCACGUCGGGUGUGAAAGCCCGGGGCUUAACCCCGGGUCUGCAUUCGAUACGGGCUAGCUAGAGUGUGGUAGGGGAGAUCGGAAUUCCUGGUGUAGCGGUGAAAUGCGCAGAUAUCAGGAGGAACACCGGUGGCGAAGGCGGAUCUCUGGGCCAUUACUGACGCUGAGACGCGAAAGCGUGGGGAGCAAACAGG